GUGGGGUAACGGCCUACCAAGGCGACGACGGGUAGCCGGCCUGAGAGGGCGACCGGCCACACUGGGACUGAGACACGGCCCAGACUCCUACGGGAGGCAGCAGUGGGGAAUAUUGCGCAAUGGGCGAAAGCCUGACGCAGCGACGCCGCGUGGGGGAUGAAGGCCUUCGGGUUGUAAACCCCUUUCAGCAGGGACGAAGCGAAAGUGACGGUACCUGCAGAAGAAGCGCCGGCUAACUACGUGCCAGCAGCCGCGGUAACACGUAGGGCGCAAGCGUUGUCCGGAAUUAUUGGGCGUAAAGAGCUCGUAGGCGGUCUGUUGCGUCCGCUGUGAAAACUCGGGGCUUAACCCCGAGCCUGCAGUGGAUACGGGCAGACUAGAGGUAGGUAGGGGAGAAUGGAAUUCCCGGUGUAGCGGUGAAAUGCGCAGAUAUCGGGAGGAACACCGGUGGCGAA
rnacentral:rRNA from 1 species